AGAAUCAUACAGGAACCAGAAUCCAGGAGAAGGAGAGAGAAGUCUCCAGGAGCUGAUCGAGUCGACUCUGCAGUGAAGACUGUAGUACUGUAUAAGACUCUAACAUACAGCCAUGUAUAAUGAGUAUUCAACACCACAGUGACCCUGUUCAUCAGAACGUCAUGGUGGAAGGAAAAAUAUGCUCUCUUCAGCAGCGGUGAAUAACCACAACCCUGUCAGUCCAUCUCUUAACUUCUCCUUUCUCUUAUCUUCUCUCUCCCUCCUUCCUUUUUCACACCAACGGACUUAUCUUUAGACACUGCAGCCUUGACCUCCAUCAACAGCUUCAGCAACAGAGAGGUGCGAAGUUUCCACAACACAGUUAGAGUUAGUUUAUCAUGAGAACAUACAGACACCACUGACUGGAACCAGCUGACAGUAUCAGUUGUAAAGACGUCAUUACUACUAACAGAAGGAAAGUUGUAGUGUUGUGUCCAUGAUGAAUGAUGUGAAGGCUUCAAUGUGUUUUAUAUUCUAAUUGUUUAUGUAAAAUUGUAAAUUGCAUUUUACUUGAAUGUUAUUGUGUGUUUAUCUUGAGCAACACCAGUUUAUGGUGCCAACUUGCCAAAUAAAGCUUCCAUGACCUGUCCACUAGA